UACGUAGGGUGCAAGCGUUGUCCGGAAUUAUUGGGCGUAAAGAGCUCGUAGGCGGCUUGUCGCGUCGGCUGUGAAAACCUGGGGCUCAACCCCGGGCCUGCAGCCGAUACGGGCAAGCUAGAAUUCGGUAGGGGAGACUGGAAUUCCUGGUGUAGCGGUGAAAUGCGCAGAUAUCAGGAGGAACACCGGUGGCGAAGGCGAGUCCCUGGACAACUCCUGACACUGAGGCACGAAAGCUAGGGGAGCAAACAGG
rnacentral:rRNA from 1 species